AUCACGUGCUCGCGUCUGUUGGCAGCUCCAUCACGCCACCACGUGUCGUCGUCUCCGCCGUCUGUAUCCGUAGCUUUGGGAAGGAGCUGAGAAGGAGGAGGAGAAGAACGGGAAUCUCCGAAGAAGGACAUCAUUUUCCCGGGAGGUGAGUGAGAUUCAGUCGGUGGUGAGCUGGUUUGAUACUGUAGGCCAUGAUCAGAAGGUCGUAAGCCUUCGGCGAAGAUGAAGAGGAAUGUUACACUGAACAUGAAGACCGAAGCCGAUCUAACGCGGUUUAAGAGAAGAGCCAUGUGAGGGAGAGAGAGAGACUUUUGUUUUGUUUUGUUUUAUUUUAUUGUCUAGUUAAACUAGUAAAGUAGCUUUUAUGUAAUGUGAUGAGCUCAACGACACCGUUUUGGUAUUGUGGGGUUCUAAAAUAGUUUAUUAGUGUUUUCAAAUUUUCAUCACGGAUUGUCACCGAUGUUGAUUGGAGAAAAAGUGGUAACAGAAAAGAAAGCAACUUUUAAUGGGAAUAAGAAUUGAUAAAGAAGAUAACACCAACUCACCAACUCUUAAUCGAGAAGAAAUAAAUUUCUACACUUGCAAUAGUUUAGUUACUGUAUAUGUUUUUUCAAUGAUUAUGAGGUUCUUGAACUUGCGAUUCUUAUUAAAUAAUCUAAGAGCUUUAGUCACGAAGUCUAACUCAUUGUUAGUUACUGCAUCUGUUAAACACGUUUUAGACUAGUGGAGCAAAGCUUUGUCGUCUAAUUGCUCGUUUGAUUCAAAAUCACUAGUUACUAUGAAUCAGACUAUGCAAACCACAAUAUCAAUAUCUGUUCAUUGAUUUGCCUUAUGGACUAAAAACGUCACAAGGUCCAUCCGUGGGACGCGUCCCACUAAUACACUCUCCACUACAAAUUGUCAAAAACUAUCAAGAAAAUGGAACAGCUGCUUUGAAGUUUGCUACUCUGAACAGUGAUACUCCCUCACAAGUUAGAUUACCAAAAAAAAUUGAGGAGUUUUAAGAAGUUAGUUCCAAAGCUUUUGAUGUCAAGCAGAAGUUCCAGGAACCUCCUCACUAGGUGGCUGCUUUGGUCCUUUAGCUCUUGGUGGUGGCUGUGGCUUUGGUGGUGGUGGCGGUGGUCUUUUUGGUUUCACCUUAUCGACUUCCUCAGAUCCAACUUCAAACUGCAUGGUGUAGCAAACACGAGCUAAGAAGAAAAUAAUAUGCUGCAAAGGCAUCAAAAUGAAGGUUAGAACAAGAGUACCAAACCUUGUAACCACAGCCUGCGACACACGCGUGAAAGCAUUCCUGAAUUUUACAAUAUUAAACAAGUUAGAUACGGUACAGUUCGGUCUGUUUAUGAAAAGGGUAUUCUUUUUAAUGUAGUGUGGAUACCUCAGAGUAGCUGGCAGCUCCAGGAGAACGAUCUAUAUAUGCACUCCAUUGUCGGUCUUUUAGCACAGGGUCUUUGUAGCAUAUCUCACUGCAGUCUGAUACACCUAUAAAGAGAACACUAUCACACCAAUUCAUUAACUUGCAAAAUCAAAACCUGAAGAAGAGGAGAUACUUCAUGAACACACAUAUAUACAAUGUAGGAGACAAGAAUUUUCUGUAAUGUUGUAUAGUGAGGAGUGAGGAGUGAGGAGAGAUGAAUCUGCUCCUCAAUUCAUAAACAAAUCUCAUGAUGGACUUGAGUGAUUAAAAAGAAAUGCUUACAAUCUUCCCAUGAGUCACUGUCGGCAUCACAUCCCUUCUUGCAGAACACUCUCCCUACAGCAUACCAUCUUGUGAUCCCAAUAGAUUCCGGAAAAAUGCCACCACCAUUUCCUUAAUCUGAUUCUGAUUAAAAACUCUGUUGCCUCCCCCAUCCAACAAAUAACUAAUGCAAUUACGAAUCUGAUGGGCCACUACCGCCUUGUAGAAAAACUUAGAAUUCGCAUCUCCACAAUCCAACCACCGAAUCCUUGCCUUUCUACUAAAGAAAAUCUCUUGAGCUGACUCAAAGAAUUGCCACUUCUUCCUAGCCACAAACUCCUGCCGGAACAAUGAGUCACUGGGGGAAGUUAAAAGCUGCAACUGAAUUUCCUUUAGAGAAUCGAGAGCUUCUUUUGCUCGCUGUUGAAUAUUCCCAAAGCCUUCUUUAUUCAACCGUCUACAAGUAGCUUUGGCUUUCUUUAGCCUCUACCGAAGAAAAAGUCACUACUGCUGGGGAAUGAUCUGAGUCUCCCGGCUCCUCAAAAACACUAAUGGCUUCCGGAAAGCUCUCACGCCAUUUUUCAUUGCACACUACUCUAUCCAGCUUCCUGAGUAUGGGAUCCUCAACUCGUCCAUUUGACCAAGUAAAGAAGGUACCCCUAAUGUCCAAAUCUGACAGCUCGCAAUCCUCCAUACAUUGUUGAAACUCCUCCAUACCCCUAACUGGUAGGUCAUACGGGUGUAUUGAGAAAUGCUCUGCCGCUGUGAGAAUUUGAUUAAAGUCGCCAAGAAUUACCAAAGGAGAGGCUGAAACUAGGGGGUUACUAGAGAUAGACACUAGAUCCCUCCAUAAGCUACGUCUCUCCGCUUCAGUGUUAUGCGCAUAGAUGAAAGCCACUGUACAACUCGUUCCAGAAGCUGGAUCCAUAACCCCACACAGAAUUAACUGAUCCGUUUUCAGAAACACCACUACUGACAAAGAAGGACUCCAUACAAUCCAAAUCCUCCCUCCUGCUGCAACUGAGUAAUUAUUAUCGAACCUCCAACCCGUAGCAACCGCCCCUAACACACUAAGAAAAUUCUCCUCCUGUACAUGAGUCUCCAAAAACGCACCAACUGAAGAACCCAAAUUCUGCAACCAAGAACGCACUACUCUCUGACGACCAACACCAUUCAUACCUCUAAUGUUCCAACUGAAAAUCUUCAUAUAUACAAUAAUUGGGGUAACCAAAUCAAAAACCUUUUAUCCUACCCGAGGAGAUUCCUCGAGCAAGACGCUUAGAAGAUUUCGGAGGAGAACCAACCGCUCCAGAGGAUUUCCAAAGCUCAUGUUGUCGCAAAGCACGCCUAUAAUUCUUCGAAUGUUUAGUAAACCACACAGACGAAUCUUCUUCUUCCUUAAAAAUCUCUCCUUUACUAGCAAUCUUUCCUUCGGCUAUCACUGAAUCAACAACUUCAACUUCCUCCCUAAUCUCACCUUCCUCCAACUGACUCUCUUCCGAAGCUGAUGAAGUCACCGCCAAAACUGAGUCAACUACCUUCUUCUGAUCCUUAACCCCCACAGACUUUUCCUCAAGUUCUGUAACCUCAGCAACCUGAACCCCCAACUCAGCACCCACCACCUCUGGAGGAGAGCUCAGCGCUCUCGCUCUUGCUCUCGCACGAGAACGAGACCUACGGCGAGACCUCGAACUAGCACUACUCUUCUGCUCCUGGACCUCCUCCACCGGGCCAACCAAGACCUCCUCUUGAGAUGUCGCAGCUAGAGACACCUCCUUAACAGCCUUCACCACACUGACCACCUUUCCUUGCUUCUGAGUUUGGAAUAUCUUCGAGGAAGGUUUGUGGCACCGAUUCAACAAAUGACCAAACUUUCCACAAUUUAUGCACUUAGGAGGCAGGCUAGGGUACUCAAUGUUAACUCUGACUGAAUUUCCUUGAGAGUCUCGCACUUCUACUACCUCCGGGAGAGCCUUUGAGAGAUCAAUCUCAAUCUUGACUUUUGUAUCACCAAAGUGGUAGGGGUCAAGCCGAGACUUCUCAGUGUGGAGAGGGUCUCCGAUACCACUAGCAACCACACUAAUACCAUCCAGAGAAUAUAACUGCGGUGGAACGUUCUUGAGUACCGCCCACGUUGGGGCAAAUAGAAGCUCCUGAGCAGCUAGAUUCCCAUCUGCAGUCCAAGGAUAAACCGAGAAAGCACAUCGAUCCGCCUGCCAGUAACCGACCUGCAAUACCCAUUCUCUGGUUUGCACCGAAGGAAUGAAUAUCAAGACACAAGUAUCCGACACCGUACGGACCGUGAUGUUGCCGAACUUUCCCCAGACCGGGUUCAGAUCCGCUAUAAUCUUCGCUGCCGACGGCCUCCGACCAUGGAAGUGAGCUACCACGUGAUCUUUCCAGAGUUCUGAGGUUUGGAGAAGCACCGACUCCGGCGCUUGCACUACCGGCGUGCCAUCUGCUAGAAAGGACGGAUCUGAGAUUUUACGAAGAUUUCUCAGGGAAGAUUUGAACCUCGCCGCGUAAGAAGGAACCUUCGCCGCUGGGAUCGAUGUAGGACCCGACGGUGAUUGGAGCUUCACCUCCAGAUCGCGAUUCAAGUGAUGGCUUUCGCGAUCUGAAAUUUUUGCAGAUUUCGCUCCUCCUGGGUCAAUAGGGGAGCUCGACGACGGGGAGGAAACAUGAGACGCCAUUGUGAUGAAGGGACGACUGGGAAUAGCUUCUCGCUAGUCGGCGUGAGGCCCACUCUCGGCGGUGACACACCGGAAACCUAAGUCGUCCUUUUUCGCACUUUAUCGCUCAAGAGAGAGAAAAAGGCCCGUGACCUAAUUUUUUAGUUUGUCUUCUCCCUGAAAAAUAUAACUAAUACACCUCUAGAAAGCUACAAGAACUCUCACGUAGAGACUGCAACCUUCUCAUCAUGAAAUAGUGUGAUCAAACCAAGCUGGUUCUACUUCUACAACACAGACAUAAAAUUGCCUUCAAUGAUCUAUAAACAUCUUGAACAAUGAGAUAGGGACUUCUACUUACAGAUAACUGUUCUAACACCAACUUCCAACAGAGAAAAAAUGACUGAAACCACAUAGCAAACUCGAACCAAGUCUUUUUUCUUAGUCUUCUUAUUUUUUUUUUUGUGACAUUAGAUCAAACUCGAAGCAUCACAUAUUAUUAUAUUUUCUCUACAACAAUAAUUAACCAAUGUGGGUCAGUGGGUGUGUAACAGUUGUCAAAAUUUCUAGGCUUCUAGCGCAACAAGUUAUAAAAGUCGUCGAAAUAAAGCAAAAUGCUUUACAUCUAUUUUUUAAAAUAAAAAAUAAUAGAAACAAACCAUGUAUACAGAAAUCGAAUAGUAUCUACUUUAAAUCGUUACAGGGUAAGUUCGACGGACUUUGAUUCCGAUACCUAAAGAAGUAAACCAAAGUGAAAACCACAAGAAGCGCAACGCCGGAGACGCCGCAUAUGAUGCUCGCCGCAAGAAACACGUGCCUCAUCACGUGCUCGCGUCUGUUGGCAGCUCCAUCACGCCACCACGUGUCGUCGUCUCCGCCGUCUGUAUCCGUAGCUUUGGGAAGGAGCUGAGAAGGAGGAGGAGAAGAACGGGAAUCUCCGAAGAAGGACAUCAUUUUCCCGGGAGGUGAGUGAGAUUCAGUCGGUGGUGAGCUGGUUUGAUACUGUAGGCCAUGAUCAGAAGGUCGUAAGCCUUCGGCGAAGAUGAAGAGGAAUGUUACACUGAACAUGAAGACCGAAGCCGAUCUAACGCGGUUUAAGAGAAGAGCCAUGUGAGGGAGAGAGAGAGACUUUUGUUUUGUUUU
rnacentral:lncRNA from 1 species